rnacentral:rRNA from 1 species
GGAAGUGGGAUGACGUCAAGUCCUCAUGGCCUUUAUACCCAGGGCUACACACGUGCUACAAUGGGCUGCACAAAGGGUCGCUAGCUCGCGAGAGUGCGCUAAUCCCAAAAGCAGUUCUCAGUUCGGAUUGGAGUCUGCAACUCGACUCCAUGAAGUUGGAAUCGCUAGUAAUCGUGGAUCAGCACGCCACGGUGAAUACGUUCCCGGGCCUU